rnacentral:rRNA from 1 species
GUAGGUGGCAAGCGUUGUCCGGAAUUAUUGGGCGUAAAGCGCGCGCAGGUGGUUCCUUAAGUCUGAUGUGAAAGCCCCCGGCUCAACCGGGGAGGGUCAUUGGAAACUGGGGAACUUGAGUGCAGGAGAGGAAAGUGGAAUUCCACGUGUAGCGGUGAAAUGCGUAGAUAUGUGGAGGAACACCAGUGGCGAAGGCGACUUUCUGGCCUGUAACUGACACUGAGGCGCGAAAGCGUGGGGAGCAAACAGGGAUUAGAUACCCUGGUAGUCCACGCCGUAAACGAUGAGUGCUAAGUGUUGGGGGGGUUUCCGCCCCCUCAGUGCUGCAGCUAACGCAUUAAGCACUCCGCCUGGGAGUACGGCCGCAAGGCUG